CAUGAUGGAAAAGUGGAAAAAAAUUCAACAAGAGAGUGAGAAUGUGGUUAUAACACAUGAAGUGGAUAGGUACUUGUUGGAUCCACUUGAAUCCAUUGAUGAGGAGUUUGAUAUACUAGGGUGGUGGAGAAUAAAUGGGCUCAAGUAUCCUACUUUGGCAUCAAUUGCAAAGGAUGUGCUUGCAAUCCCUACUUCCACAAUAGCUUCGGAGUCUUGUUUUAGCACAAGUGGGAGAGUGAUUGACUCGUUUCGAAGCUCAUUGUCUCCUAGGAUGGUUGAGGCUUUGAUUUGCUCUCAAAAUUAGAUAAGGUCCGAAGAUAUAUCUUCAUUGCAAUAUGUGCCAAGCAUUGAGGAGAUGGAGUUCUAUGAAUCAAUUGAAAUGGAAAUGGGGAGUAAAACAUCCAUGACAAAUUUGAAUAAGACUCUCCCUUCUUAGUGUGAUUAAGAUAUGUUGGAAGGUUGCUUUGUGAAGGCUUUUGGAAGAAUGGAUGCAGCAUAUUUUUUGCAAGGAUAUUAUCUCUAUGUGUAUUUUUGUGAUGGGUUGUAAUCUUUAAUGUCAUAAGUUUAAUUUGGUUUGUGUAUUAUUUUUUGUAAUGGUUUGUAAGAGAUUAUAUUUCCUUUCCUUGGUUGGUUGGUUGAAUGUGUGUGUGAGAUUUAUUUAGUCUAGAAACUUAGAUUGGAAUGAUGGAUUUUUAUAGCUUGAAUGUACAUAAUUUCAGGUUUUGAAAGACAAGUAAAAAGUGUUUUGGGCUUGUUCAUAAGAA